rnacentral:rRNA from 1 species
GGUACGUACUGGCAUUGUUGGUUUCUCCCUUCUGACGAACCAUGAUGUCAUUUAUUUGGUGUUGUGGGGAAUCAGGACUGUUACUUUGAAAAAAUUAGAGUGUUUAAAGCAGGCUCACGCUUGAAUACAUUAGCAUGGAAUAAUGAAAUAGGACGUUUGAUUCUAUUUUGUUGGUUUCUAGGAUCGACGUAAUGAUUAAUAGGGAUAGUUGGGGGCAUUAGUAUUCAAUUGUCAGAGGUGAAAUUCUUGGAUUUAUUGAAGACUAACUACUGCGAAAGCAUUUGCCAAGGAUGUUUUCAUUAAUCAAGAACGAAAGUUAGGGGAUCGAAGACGAUCAGAUACCGUCGUAGUCUUAACCAUAAACUAUGCCGACUAGGGAUCGGAUGAUGUUAAUUUUUUAAUGACUCAUUCGGCGCCUUACG